rnacentral:lncRNA from 1 species
UUCGUAUGAAGGAAAAGCUAAUAUAAUGUCACAUUACAACAUCUAAUUGGGAACCUUCAACAUUUUCGUUGUCGUCGCUGACUUGAGAGAGUGAAAAUCAAUGGUAUUGUGAAGGUUUUUGGUUCUCAAAUAUUUGCAGUGUGCAAAGGAUAUUGACUUUGGUGUAUGAUGAAGUGUGAACGAUGAUUGACUAUUCGGUUAGGGGAUUAUGAAAAUAGGGUGAUUAUUCAAAAUGGACAAUUGACCAAAUUACCUAUUUUUGUAUUAAAAUUUUUAAUAGUUAUAACUUUUUUGGGAGGUCAAGAUUGUAACUUAUCAGUGACUCAUGUCGACUCCAAUUUAGAUUAAUUUCUGGC